rnacentral:misc_RNA from 1 species
CAUACUUUUAAAGUCUUAACUUUAUAAACCCAAUGUGAACAAAACCUUUCUCGCUUCGGCAGCGGGCCCGGCCGGCACCCCUAAACGGGUCCUGUUGGCGCCGUAAGCCUGCCGGCAGCAAACUUAUCAAAACUCGCUUUUGAACUUGAGUCUUUGAACAUCAUUUACGAAUGAAAAUCA